CGCCCCUCUGGGCUGGGUGCAGCCGGGGUGGGGGUCUCCCUCAGACCGAGGGGCUCCUGGUGGCCGUGGGCUGCGGGCGGCCCUCCUGUGCGCCGUGCUGGCGGGAUGCGGUGGUCACGGGUCGGAUCGUCGCUUCUCAUUAGCGCUGAACGCCAUGGGGAGCGCGAGAGGAGGCAGCUGACAACGCCGCCUUUCUGCUCCCUUCCCACACGCCUCUCAUCCUCCCCGAGGGACCGGCGCCUCUUGGCCGGGGGGGCACGGCUCCACUUUGGGCUCCCAUCAGUGCAUCCGACGCCGAACGACUUCCUGGUGCGGUCGUUGGGUGCAGACGCUCCCAGAAGCCUCCUGUGGGGUCCUCUGAAACCUGAUGGGGGAAAAGCGAAGAACGCUGGGAGCUGGGAAAUCAGGGAGUUGUAGAACUGUAGAAUGGAUGGGUUGGAAGGGUCCUGAAAGAUCACAGAGCCGUGGGAUGAUUGGGUUGAAAGGGUCCUUGAAGAGCUUAGAGCCGUGGAAUGGAUGGGUUGGAAGGGUCCUUAAAGGUCACAGAGCCAUCGAGUGUUGGGUUGGAAGGGUCCUUAAAGAUCACAGAGCCAUCGAGUGUUGGGUUGGAAGGGUCCUUAAAGAUCACAGAGCCAUCGAGUGUUGGGUUGGAAGGGUCCUUAAAGAUCACAGAGCCAUCGAGAGUUGGGUUGGAAGGGUCCUUAAAGAUCACAGAGCCAUCGAGUGUUGGGUUGGAAGGGUCCUUAAAGAUCACAGAGCCAUCGAGAGUUGGGUUGGAAGGGUCCUUAAAGGUCACAGAGCCAUCGAGUGUUGGGUUGGAAGGGUCCUUUAAAGAGCAUCGAACCACUGAAUGGAGGAGUUCAAAGGGACUUCAAAGUCACAGACCCAUGGGAUGGUUUGGGUCAGAAGGGUCCUUAAAGCUCACACAACCAUCGGGUGGUUGGGUUGGACGGGUCCUUAAAGAUGGUGUAGGUCCAGCCCUGCCGUGGUAAACUCACCCACCCCCACCCGCGGUGUUCCUGCCCCACUCACAGCCGUGCGUCCGGCCGCACUCUGCAUGAGGACGCUUGGCCCAGCACAGCCAUCCUUCCCAGCAGCUGCCGAGCCAUCAUUUGGAGCAACCCCAACACAGCGAUCCCAAAGCAUCGCUGCCGCGCUGCCUCUCCUCCCGGCCAGGACAGGGUGCUCUGCAGGGCUCAGACCUCCAGGGUCGGCGUCACCUCCUGGAUUAUGCUGGAUGAGAGGGCUUACGCAGCAGAGGGUCAGGCUGAGAUGUAGGGGGAGGACACAAGAUGCAGGGCAAGGACACGAGAUGAAGGGCAAGGACACGAGAUGUGGGGCAAGGACACGAGAUGAAGGGCAAGGACACGAGAUGAAGGGCAAGGACAU